rnacentral:rRNA from 1 species
CCUACGGGAGGCAGCAGUGAGGAAUAUUGCUCAAUGGGGGAAACCCUGAAGCAGCAACGCCGCGUGGAGGAUGAAGGUUUUCGGAUUGUAAACUCCUUUUGUUAGAGAAGAUAAUGACGGUAUCUAACGAAUAAGCACCGGCUAACUCCGUGCCAGCAGCCGCGGUAAUACGGAGGGUGCGAGCGUUAGCCGGAUUUAUUGGGUUUAAAGGGGGCGCAGGCGGAAGAUCAAGUCAGCGGUAAAAUUGAUGGGCUAAACCUCUACGAGCCGUUGAAACUGGUUUUCGUGAGUGAGGGAGAAGUAUGCGGAAUGCGUGGUGUAGCGGUGAAAUGCAUAGAUAUCACGCAGAACUCCGAUUGCGAAGGCAGCAUACUGGCGCUCAACUGACGCUCAUGCACGAAAGUGUGGGUAUCGAAUAGGAUUAGAUACCCCAGUAGUC